rnacentral:rRNA from 1 species
GAUGAACGCUGGCGGCGUGCCUAAUACAUGCAAGUCGAGCGAACGGAUAAGGAGCUUGCUCCUUUGAAGUUAGCGGCGGACGGGUGAGUAACACGUGGGUAACCUACCUAUAAGACUGGAAUAACUUCGGGAAACCGGAGCUAAUGCCGGAUAACAUUUGGAACUGCAUGGUUCUAAAGUAAAAGAUGGUUUUGCUAUCACUUAUAGAUGGACCCGCGCCGUAUUAGCUAGUUGGUGAGGUAACGGCUUACCAAGGCAACGAUACGUAGCCGACCUGAGAGGGUGAUCGGCCACACUGGAACUGAGACACGGUCCGGACUCCUACGGGAGGCAGCAGUAGGGAAUCUUCUGCAAUGGACGAAAGUCUGACGGAGCAACGCCGCGUGAGUGAUGAAGGUUUUCGGAUCGUAAAACUCUGUUAUUAGGGAAGAACAAAUGUGUAAGUAACUGUGCACAUCUUGACGGUACCUAAUCAGAAAGCCACGGCUAACUACGUGCCAGCAGCCGCCGUAA